rnacentral:rRNA from 1 species
GACGAACGCUGGCGGCGUGCUUAAUACAUGCAAGUCGAACGGAAAGGCCCUGCUCUUGCGGGGCGCUCGAGUGGCGAACGGGUGAGUAACACGUGAGUAUCCUGCCCCUGUCUUUGUGAUAUCUUCAGGAAACUGGGGCUAAUAUCGGAUAGGAGCUCUUGCUGCACGGUGGGCGUUGGAAAGUUUCGGCGGUUGGGGAUGGACUCGCGGCUUACCAGCUUGUUGGUGGGGUAGUGGCUUACCAAGGCUUUGACGGGUAGCCGGCCUGAGAGGGUGACCGGCCACAAUGGGACUGAGGUACGGCGCAGACGCCAACGGGAGGCAGCGGUGGAGAAUAUUGCACAAUAGGCGGAAGCGUGAUGCGACAACGCCGCGUGCGGGAUGACGGCCUUCGGGUUGUAAACCGCUUUCGCCUGUGACGAAGCGUGAGUGACGGUAAUGGGUAAAAAAGCACCGGCUAACUACGUG